rnacentral:rRNA from 1 species
CGUAUGCAACCUACCUAUCAGAGGGAAUAACCCGGCGAAAGUCGGACUAAUACCGCAUAAAACAGGGGCACCGCAUGGUGAUAUUUGUUAAAGAAAUUCGCUGAUAGAUGGGCAUGCGUUCCAUUAGGUAGUUGGUGAGGUAACGGCUCACCAAGCCGACGAUGGAUAGGGAACUGAGAGGUUGGUCCCCCACACUGGUACUGAGACACGGACCAGACUCCUACGGGAGGCAGCAGUGAGGAAUAUUGGUCAAUGGGCGGGAGCCUGAACCAGCCAAGUCGCGUGAAGGAAGAAGGAUCUAUGGUUCGUAAACUUCUUUUGCAGGGGAAUAAAGUGCAGGACGUGUCCUGUUUUGUAUGUACCCUGAGAAUAAGGAUCGGCUAACUCCGUGCCAGCCGCCGC